rnacentral:tmRNA from 1 species
CGGGUGCGGGACGCCGGGGUCGAGGAGCCGCAGAAGGGCCAGGUCCACGCGGGGGCCCGGAGCGGACGCCGGGCCGCUCCCGGCCGCCUCCCGGUCGGCCUCCAGGACUUCCGGUGCUUCCGGUGCUUCCGAUGCUUCCGGUCUCUCCUCCCCGCCCGUCCCGCACGGCGGGGCAGCCGCCCGUACGGGGGCCGGCCGGCUCAGGUCGUACUCCAGGCGCGCGGCGGCCACCCGGCCGUCGAACGCCACUCCGAUCUCGCCGUCCGGGCCCGUCGGACGGCGUCGGCCGUCACCGCUGGUGAGCACGUGGGCGCAGGUCAGCACCCAACCGGGGGCGACGAAGACGCCGCUGCCCCAUAACGGUGCCGGGGUCACCCCGGGCGCCGGGCGGACGGCGACGGUGGCCCGGCCCGCGUGCCCGAGGAGGUGCGCGUACUUCUCGCGGUCCGCG